UUUAGCUAGCUUAUGUAUAGCUAAGUUUGCCGAUAUGAGGCAUAAUGCCCUACAACGUAGCGGUGUAUCAUGAUUGAGAAUUAGCGUGAUUUAUCACAAAUUCGAUUUUCAAUCAUGCGACACUUUAAUCGCUAUCCCAGAUUUAUAAGGGAAUGGGACUCUUCACCGAGGUUGUAAAAUGAGACAAACGAUUUUAGCUGUAU
rnacentral:ncRNA from 1 species